GAUGAACGCUGGCGGCGUGCCUAAUACAUGCAAGUCGAGCGAACAGAUGAGGAGCUUGCUCCUCUGACGUUAGCGGCGGACGGGUGAGUAACACGUGGAUAACCUACCUAUAAGACUGGGAUAACUUCGGGAAACCGGAGCUAAUACCGGAUAACAUAUUGAACCGCAUGGUUCAAUAGUGAAAGACGGUUUUGCUGUCACUUAUAGAUGGAUCCGCGCCGCAUUAGCUAGUUGGUAAGGUAACGGCUUACCAAGGCAACGAUGCGUAGCCGACCUGAGAGGGUGAUCGGCCACACUGGAACUGAGACACGGUCCAGACUCCUACGGGAGGCAGCAGUAGGGAAUCUUCCGCAAUGGGCGAAAGCCUGACGGAGCAACGCCGCGUGAGUGAUGAAGGUCUUCGGAUCGUAAAACUCUGUUAUUAGGGAAGAACAAAUGUGUAGGUAACUAUGCACGUCUUGACGGUACCUAAUCAGAAAGCCACGGCUAACUACGUG
rnacentral:rRNA from 1 species